rnacentral:rRNA from 1 species
ACGAACGCUGGCGGCGUGCUUAACACAUGCAAGUCGAACGGAAAGGCCUGCUUUCCCUUGUGGAUUGCGGGUACUCGAGUGGCGAACGGGUGAGUAACACGUGAGUGAUCUGCCCCCAACUUGGGUAUAAGCCUGGGAAACUGGGUCUAAUUCCCGAUAGGACUGCAGGGUGGUGCCUGUGGUGGAAAACGAUUUUCUAGUGGUUGGGGAUGAGCUCGCGGCCUAUCAGCUUGUUGGUGGGGUAAUGGCCUACCAAGGCGGCGACGGGUAGCCGGCCUGAGAGGGUGGACGGCCACAUUGGGACUGAGAUACGGCCCAGACUCCUACGGGAGGCAGCAGUGGGGAAUAUUGCACAAUGGGCGGAAGCCUGAGGGAGCGACGCCGCGUGGGGGAUGACGGCCUUCGGGUUGUAAACUCCUUUCGACCGCGAGGAAGCCACCUGGUUGGAAGGGUGGUGACGGUAGUGGUAGAAGAAGCACCGGCUAACUACGUG